AUCANACGAACGCUGGUCCAGGCCUAGAGAAAAAAGUCGAGCGCCCCGCAAGGGGAGCGGCAGACGGGAGAUUUCCACGUGGGAACGUACCCUUCGGUUCGGAACAACCCAGGGAAACUUGGGCUAAUACCGGAUACGUCCGAAAGGAGAAAGAUUUAUCGCCGAGGGAUCGGCCCGCGUCUGAUUAGCUAGUUGGUGGGGUAACGGCCCACCAAGGCGACGAUCAGUAGCUGGUCUGAGAGGAUGAUCAGCCUCACUGGGACUGAGACACGGCCCAGACUCCUACGGGAGGCAGCAGUGGG
rnacentral:sRNA from 1 species